AUCCAGCUGACGAGUCACAAAUAGGACGAAACGCGCAUUCUGGAU
rnacentral:hammerhead_ribozyme from 1 species